UCCCUGGUGGUUGAGUGGCUAAGACUCUGUGCUCCCAAUGCAGGGGUUCCGGGUUCGAAUCCUGGUCAGGGAA